GCAUAUCAAAAAGCGGAGGAAAAGAAACUAACAAGGAUUCCCCUAGUAGCGGCGAGCGAAGCGGGAAGAGCUCAAAUUUAUAAUCUGGCACCUUCGGUGUCCGAGUUGUAAUCUCUAGAAAUGUUUUCCGCGUUGGACCGCACACAAGUCUGUUGGAAUACAGCGGCAUAGUGGUGAGACCCCCGUAUAUGGUGCGGACGCCCAGCGCUUUGUGAUACAUUUUCGAAGAGUCGAGUUGUUUGGGAAUGCAGCUCAAAUUGGGUGGUAAAUUCCAUCUAAAGCUAAAUAUUGGCGAGAGACCGAUAGCGAACAAGUACCGUGAGGGAAAGAUGAAAAGCACUUUGGAAAGAGAGUUAACAGUACGUGAAAUUGUUGGAAGGGAAACGCUUGAAGUCAGACUUGCUUGCCGAGCAAUCGGUUUGCAGGCCAGCAUCAGUUUUCCGGGAUGGAUAAUGGUAGAGAGAAGGUAGCAGUUUCGGCUGUGUUAUAGCUCUCUGCUGGAUACAUCUUGGGGGACUGAGGAACGCAGUGUGCCUUUUGGCGGGGGUUUCGACCUCUCACACUAGAUGCUAGAGCAAGGGG
rnacentral:rRNA from 1 species